rnacentral:rRNA from 2 species
GGAGGACGCUCACCACUUUGUGGUUCAUGACUGGGGUGAAGUCGUAACAAGGUAGCCCUAGGGGAACCUGGGGCUGGAUCACCUCCUUAUACGAAGAUA